rnacentral:lncRNA from 1 species
AAAAUAAUAUAUUUGGUUAGUUAAAUCCUUAUAUUUGAAUAAAUAAACAUUAUAUUUGUUUGUGGAAAACCUGUUUUAACGUUAAUAAAACGCUUAUAAAGAACUGUUUGCUAGCUUGUCUAUGUGAUUAAUGUAAGAUAACUCUUAUAAAAUGUUCCAAACAUUUUAUCCAUAUUGGGAGAUAAUAUAAUUCGGUUUUUAAUUUAUAGUCUUUUUCCCCCAAAAAAAUGAGUUAUAUAGGUUCAAAUCAUGUUUUUUUUUUAUAAUAUAUCACAAAAGCAUUUGACAUAAAUUUGAUUUAUUUUUGGAAUGUGGGAUUGGUGAUUUUUUUGUGUCUAUGUGUAUGUUUGUCUUGUAUAUGUCUGAGUUAAGGGGUGUUUCAGAUCGUCAUGUAUCUUUAGGGAAUCAAUAUUGAUAAUUUUUUAAAAAUAUGUACAUGUAUGCUUCAUUUAAAUUCUGACAAUAUUAUAAAUGAUAUAUUAAAGCAAUAAAUACUUUUACAAGAAGUAGGUUACAUUGUGUUGGAUGUUAUAUCA